CAAAAUACCCACAUUCAAAAUUGCUAAUUCCAAGUGUACCCUUUGCCAAAUCAAAUUAGGGUUCAGUUAUCUACUUAUCUCAUCUGCUCAUCUUCUCGGUUUAGGGAACCAUCAUCUUCUCAGCUGGAGCCGCUACUCCAACUAACGCUCGCACCAGGACCUCGUUGUUGCCGUCGCAAGCUGAAGUUAGUAGCCACUCAUCUUCUCCCAUCGCAGAACGCAGGACCAGCACGUCAAGCACGACAUCAGGGUCGCCGUCGUAGCGUUUGUAAGCUGAGUGAGUCGCCGUUUAGCCAACACAGGACCAAUCUUCUUUUCCACUGUGUUCCCAUCUUCUCUCCUUUUGCCAAUGCAGGACCAUCUGAAGAUAGGUUCUCUAGCCGCCGCCUGGACAACCACCCCAUCAUCGUUAGCUUGCCACCGUGACCUUGUUCCUUGGAAAAAAAACUGAAGGACAAGAUGGCUGAGUUUCAGGACCAAAAGCCUAAAAUGGAUUUGACGCAAAUGGACACCAUCAAUUCCUAAUUUGAUGAGCACCAACAAGACAAACAUGCUGCUGAAUUGUUUUAAUGACAUUGUGUCAUUGUGCACAAGAUUUGGAUUUUUAUGAGUUGCAUUAUGUCUGUAUAAAGAGGCAGGGUUCACUAACUUUGGAGAUUAGAAUCACUUCAGAAGAAGUUCCACCAUUCAGAUCACUAUGUUAGUUCUAUUUACUCAAAGAGCCUAAUUGAUCCUGGCUUGGCUACUUAGUUACUUAUUUGACUUGGUUUGGUAGAAUGGCAAAUGAGAAUGAAGUGCUUAUUCUCUUUGGUGACAUGCCACAUACAAAUGUGUAUUUGUUGAAUCUUUUGUUGUAUUUACAAGAAUGUAUUAAUCUUAUUUGUUAUUAUGUAGAAGUUUAAAAUUGAAUUGAUAUUAUACGUUUUUUUGUUUAUCUAUAUAAAUAAUGGAUUUUUUAUUUA